UACAGAGGUCUCGAGCGUUGUUCGGAUUCAUUGGGCGUAAAGGGUGCGUAGGUGGCGCUGUAAGUCGGGUGUGAAAUCCCUGAGGCUUAACCUCGGAACUGCAUUCGAUACUGCGGCGCUUGAGGACUGGGAGAGGAGACUGGAAUUCAUGGUGUAGCAGUGAAAUGCGUAGAGAUCAUGAGGAAGACCAGUGGCGAAGGCGGGUCUCUGGACAGUUCCUGACACUGAGGCACGAAGGCCAGGGGAGCAAACGGG
rnacentral:rRNA from 1 species